rnacentral:piRNA from 1 species
UGGAGGCGGGGAUGAGUGUGAAUUUA